AGUGAACGCUGGCGGUAGGCCUAACACAUGCAAGUCGAACGGCAGCACAGUAAGAGCUUGCUCUUACGGGUGGCGGGUGGCGGACGGGUGAGGAAUACAUCGGAAUCUACUUUUUCGUGGGGGAUAACGUAGGGAAACUUACGCUAAUACCGCAUACGACCUACGGGUGAAAGCAGGGGAUCUUCGGACCUUGCGCGAUUGAAUGGGCCGAUGUCGGAUUAGCUAGUUGGCGGGGUAAUGGCCCACCAAGGCGACGAUCCGUAGCUGGUCUGAGAGGAUGAUCAGCCACACUGGAACUGAGACACGGUCCAGACUCCUACGGGAGGCAGCAGUGGGGAAUAUUGGACAAUGGGCGCAAGCCUGAUCCAGCCAUACCGCGUGGGUGAAGAAGGCCUUCGGGUUGUAAAGCCCUUUUGUUGGGAAAGAAAAGCAGCAGGUUAAUACCCCGCUGUUCUGACGGUACCCAAAGAAUAAGCACCGGCUAACUUCGUG
rnacentral:rRNA from 1 species